CAGGCUCAGAGAGCUGGAGUUAUUCCAUCUGGAGAAGAGAAGGCUCCAGGGAGACCUGCAAGCAGCCUUUCAGUAUCUGAAGGGAGGCUAUAAGAAAGAAGGGGACAGACUCUUCAGCAGGGUCUGUCAUGACAGGACAAAGGGAAAUGGUUUUAAACUAAAAGAAGGGAGAUUUAGACUGGAUAUUAGAGAAAAUGUUUUUUAUAGUAACAGUGGUGAGGCACUGGGACAGGUUGACCGGAGGGGCGGUGGAUGCUCUGUCCUUGGAUACAUUCAAGGUCAGGCUGAGUGGGGCUCUUAGCAACCUGAUCUAGCUGUAAGUGUCCCUGUUCAUUGUAGGGCAUUUGGACUAGAUGGCCUCUAAAGGUCUCUUCCAAUUCAAAUGAUUCUAUGAUUCAAUGAUUCUAAAUCAGCUAUAGAACAAAAGGCAGGACAGUUCAUGGUGGGAGUGUGGACACGCACACGAAGAACUGAUGCUGAUGGGCACAUCCAAUACCCUUUGGGACACUGGAGGAGAAUCCUGGGUGAGCUGCUGGACUCUCCAUCAGUCACGAAAUACUGUCAGCAACAUUUUAGAGAUGGGAAAGAGGGACCCUGAGGACUGAAUUCACAAGAGCUGAAUCUGAAACACAACCAACUUCCAUGCCAGUUGUGACUUGCCCUAGAUUAUGCACCAUCCAACUGACAAGUGACCGGGGGCCUCCUGCAGCCAAGUCCUACAGAUUUCUUCUGACAAAUUUUCCUGCUAAGAAGGCAAGUGUGGGAAGAAAUACUGAUGACACGUGCUUCUGAUGGAGUCAGUGGUGUCCAGGAGCAGGAUGCAGCUGCACAACCACGCCGUAAGUGCCUUACCUUCAUUAAGAGCCAAUCAUGACAUUUUUUGAGGAGGGAAACUUUAAAGCACUGCUGAUAAAUGCUGAGCAGAACGAGACAAAAUGGCGGACAGGGGAACCCUGCAGAAGAGGGCGUGUGAAGUGGCCAUGACAUCCUGGGCUUGCCAAUCAUUGCUUUGCAGGAGCAGCAUGCUGGAUGAAGCUUUUAAUAGCUCUUUUUAAAUGCACUGCUAAGUUUUUUUUCCAGCAACUGACAGCCAUAGUAACAUGCAACCACUUCAGGGUGCAUGAUUUACUGAGAUGAACAGAGAAAGGUGGGUGGCCCUUAAUCCACACCUGCAGACUCCCUUGGGAACCAGUAAAGCUAAAGUACUUCAUCUUCUGGGAAGUCUGAUUUUGAGUGCAGCUGGUGUCAUCUCAGUGGAAACUGGAACGUCACGUUGUCAUCAGACCUGCAAAGUGAUGCCCAAACUGUUACCAGGUUAUUUUCUGUAUCAAGAAGCUGGGAGUGGGGAAGUGUGUAUGAAAGUUACAGAGGCUGGAUCAAAGACAGCUAAUUAGAAGCCUAGAAAAGUGUGCUGAGGGGAAGACAGGGGAUACAGUUGAAACAGAAAUCACUGUGCAGUUAUUUAUAUAAUCAACAUGCUGUUUUAUAAUCCAUGAUGAAAUACAUAUUUACAGUUAUGCUGUGUUCCAAAUUUUGAUUUACUUACCCAGUUCUGCCUUACUUGUAACAUUUUAUAGCGAGACAAAGCAAACAGUCAGUCCAGCCCCCACAUCUACAUGCUGUCAUUGAUUCCAAGGACAAAAUCCUCUUCUCUAAUGAUCAAAGACAGAAGGAGAACUUGAACUUUCCGAGAACCUGUGGUGGAGCUUAUAAAAAUGGAAAUGACCUGAGCCUUUAGUUCACGUACUUAAGGUAGCACAUUGAAAAUACUAAAGAAACUUCCCCUUCUUUUGUCAUGGCUCCAGAGCCCUGUGGGCACUCAGACCUGACUGCUCCCCACAUCAGGGCACACCUUCAGCACAUACGCUGCUUUUGUGCUACCUGUUCUAUAGGUGAAAACCAUGCAAAGCAGACAGGGGUGUAAGUGGUGAAGGAAGGGCAAGUUCAUCCAGUUGUAUUAGAGAACUGGGAAUGCUGCAUUAUCAGAAACUGAAAUGGGGUAAAUUCCUUUUAUCUGCAGUUACCCUUGAACAUAACUUUCUUUAAUUCUUUAUUUUUGAACCCAAUCUGCAGGUGUAUUUAAGAAGGGCAUUUGUGAUGGGACAUAACUUGGAACAAGCUAAACGUGGAAAAAAGAAAAGUCUUUUCAGAGAAGCUACGGGAGGAUCUCCAUGGUCAACAUUUUUGGUUUGCAAAGCUCACCUUAAGAUCCACACCACAUCUUCUAACAGCAAGUACUUACAGUGCUCCCUUGUAUGUGUUUGUGAUCAGCACUGGUUAUUUUUGAAAAUACCUCCAGUCCUCUAAUGUGUUCUUCCAAUGGUGUAUUCCUCAGAGGAGGCUCUGAUAGCGAUAUAGCCCAAACCCUAUAUAUAUAUCUAUGGGUAAAGCCAUUUCACGGUGAUUAAAAAGAGAGCGUCAAUUGAAAAUGGGAAGAGUUAAAAUUUUGAGGAAUUCAUCCCCUCCAUCUGUACAUAAAGCCAUUAGGUAGGGUCAAUUACACACACUGUCCAGCAUCUCUCAUUGCUGUGCUCAGGAGUGCUGGGGACAUCCCAUCCCAUCAUACCCUGUCCCAUCACAUUGAAUCCCAUCCCAUCUCACCCCAUCCUUUUGGUCCCUGUGGCCAUUCACUCUGAACCCAGAAGUCAGGGCCAUGCCAGUGCUCCCAGAGGAGCCCCUAUCAGGACUGCAUCUCCGCUCAUGCCUGGUUUUGCCAUGUCUGAAUGUUCAGUGGUCUGGAAAGGCUACCAAAGCCUUGUGUCAUGUAGUUCCCCAGAUUAAAAGGAGAGGGUUUUCUGGAGAGAUUUUGGGAUAAAUCCUUGUGGUCAUAUCUGUCUUUUUUUUUUUUCUAUUUAGUGAUCCUAUGUUAAGCCCUUAUGUUCACCAAGGGCAGGUGAACCUUAUGUUCAUCUAGGAGCAGGAAUGAGCUUAAGGCAGGGCCUGUGUUAUGCAGGUGAUGCGUAAGUGCCAGUGCCUCCCAGAACACCAUGUGCUAUGAGAUGGCGUGAGUGCUUAUCAUUUAAAGACAAACUUUCAAGACGAAUCAGGACCAAAAGGUACAAGAGAGAAAGCCAUAUUUAGUCUCAGGUGGAAGGGUACUGACCCAAAAUGUUCUCUUGCCUCCUCACUACAGGCCUGAGGCCUUUUCCUGAAUAAAGAGGCACCUGUUCUCUUAUAUGUUUCAUGCCAGCCUCUCUCUUAUUACUAAACUCUUCUUUUGCCUCUCUCUUAUCACUAAAAAAGAUUUUGGGGUGCUGGCAAUCUUCCCAUCCUGCACCAGGACCUUUGGUGGUGGUGCCAGGGCUCACUGCCACGGGCAGCCAUGACCAUGGACUUCUUCUGCACACUGCAAAUGAGUGUCCCCAAAAGGCUGUCUAGGAUCCCACAGCAGGCCCUAAAGCAACACCUGAGUUCAAGGCGUUGGACUGAACAGGCAAACUGAGAAAAAUCCCAUUAGAUCUUUAAAAAUGGUAUUGGUGAGCAGCCCUGUGCUGUGUAAGAGAAGGAAAACCCAGUGCACAGCUCUGAUAAUCCUGUGAUAUUUUGAAGAAAUCGUGCCCCCUGCUGAUUUAAUUAGAUUUUUUUGUAGCCUUGGCUCUAAACCUGGUGAGAACAUUCAAACAUACUGAUUAGCGUUCAAGGUCAAUAACUCAGAUGUCCCACUGGGUAGUAAAAAUCUUCUCUUCCAACCCUGAAAUAAGAUGCUUAUUAUUGAUUUUUUUUUUUUUUUUGGAAGCAGAAGUCAAAAGACGGAUGGCAUAUUUUUGCAGGGACAGCUUUUUCGAGACCAUCUGUAGCAUUUUACAUGCCCUUUGUAGCAUUUAAUGGGGAAAUAAAAGCCUGGAAUAACAAUACGAACAGAAAGUCACAACUAGGAAAUUCUUCAGGUUUACAAAGCCUCCAUGGAUGUCUGUGCCUCAGAUGCAUGUUAAAAUUGCUUCAUUUUCCAGCCCACCUACGAGGGACAUUCAUCUGCCACCCGUUUACAAUAGUCAUGAGUGAUUAGUACUGUAAAAAUACAUCACGCAUAAAACAGCCAUCGCCGAUGUGGCGGUGUUUUAUACCCCCAUACUGACUGUCCCCCUGGCCAGCAGUUCAUAUAAAACCUCAGCAGCAUCAAGCUGGUCGACACUGGGGUUCUCCCCAAAGCUUCUCCUCUUGCGGGUCGGACAGCAGGAGCAGAGAGACGGAAAGCAAACCCAGGCUUACAGUGGGGACGGGCCCACCAGAACCCCAACGGGAACAGAAAUGUCCUGUUUCCACCCGGCUGCUUGGGGCUGUGGCACAUGCUGGACUUCAGAUAGCUGGCAGGCGCUGCGCUGUUCGCUGCUAUUGUUCACGCACCUGGCAGGGACAUUUUCUCUCUCUCUCUCUCCUCUUGCAGUCGCUGGGUUGGAAACCGCCUUCACUGGAAGGUCGUUGAGUACCCUCUAGUGGAUGUUCUCGGAAAAUAGCUCUCAUAGGUCUCAGGAGGCAGCCGCGACUCUCGGAAAGGCCGUGUAUUUCUAGUCAGGAUACGCCGGGGAUGGAUUACAGUAAGCACGGCACAUACUAGGAGUUGCAAAGAUAAGAGCUUCUGCUCUUUAGCGAAACCAAAUGUGAAGGGCAAACAAGAUGAAAAAUCAAUACUUCAGAGAGAAACUGCUCGGUUUAUUUGAACUGCUGGAUGUGGCAACACACAAGGGCAAAAAUACCUGCAAGGCAAAAUCAAUCUGCCAGCAGCCUUCGCUGCCAGGAGGAGCCCGGGCUGGGGCUGGGGCUGGGGCUGGGGCUGGGGCUGGGGCUGGGCCCGGGCCCGGGCCCUGGCCUGUGGUCUCUGGGGAGCACUGGGAGGAGCGGGACAGAUCCUCCUCACCUGUUACCAAUUAGAUCUAUUAAUCUCCUCUUUUUGUAAUCAGCCAUUAAUGCUUCUAUCCAUUUAUCUACGUAUUUAUUAACGGAUAUAAUAAUUUACGAGUGAAAUUAUUAAUUAAGCGGGGUUGUUAUGAAUUUAAUAAUUAGCUAUUAAUGUAUCUGUAAGACAUUUAAGCACUUCUCUUCCCAUGUGUAAGUGGUGGGUCAUGAUCACUCCCUGUCGCUCCUUCCCUUCCCCUCCUCAGGAAGACAAGCUCUUAUGUCAACACGAAGACCACUUACAAGUUACUAUCUUACAAGUUACUAUCACAGGCAAGAUGGACUUGACCUGGGGAAAAAUAAUUUAAUUUGUUGCCAACAAAAAUAGAUCCGAGCACUGAGAAACAAACAUUAAAAUAGCAACUCUCCUUCUCCAUUUCCUAGGCUCACCUUCACUCCUCCAGCUGACUACUCUACCUCCUUCCCUGAGGAGUGCAGGGGUACGACAGCCCUGCCCCAGGGAGUUCCUCCCCAGCCUGUAGUGGGGGUCUGUAGUGCUUGGAGUCCCUCACCCUCCCUACUUCCUUCUCCUCCUCUUCUGACCUUGGUGUUCCCUCCCUUGUUUCUGACUUUUCCCUUCUCCUCUGCCCAUCCCGUGUUUUCUGCCCUAACACGUCCCACAGAGGUGCCACCAGCUUGGCUGCUCUCUCAGCACUCUCACCGCUUUGCUUUGGGUGGAUGUCAGACUAAAUGUCUCACAAUUACCGGGCUCAUCCUCAUGCCCUUUUAACAGCAGCCUGAUGUUAACGCUGUAAGGCUUGGGGAAUUUCCCUUGUGCACCAGGAUGUGUUCACAAUGAAGAUAAGUGGGCCAAUUAUCUGUAGGCAGAUCUUCCAGGUCUUCUGAGUAUGUAGCAAGACUUAAUAUUUAUGUUAUACAUAUUUCUAAUAUCUUCACUUAUCAUUUAUCUAAUAUGUUACUAACAGCAUUUCUCUCUGGUUUUGAAUCUAGCAUCCUGCUUCUUUCUAAAUGCAUAACAGAGAUAUUGGGUUUUCUGUACUUCUCCUCCAUCUCCUUCCAGUGGACUUGCUGGUUUUCAGGGAGAUUCAUCAUAUUCUGCCCUUUGCAUGUCUCAGUUUUAUAUUCUCUGAGGGUUUCUAGCCGCUUUGAAUUUUCCCCAUUAAGGACACAUUGCAGUGUUACUGCCCAAAGGUGUAUCAAACACACCAAUGGUUUUCCUUCUUAAAACCUCUGAUACGAGGGGUCUCAAGCUCCUCAGUGAAGCAGGCAGUGCUACCACUGCUGUUUUAAAGGUGAAGAGUCACCUCAGAUUCACUAAUUCCACAUAAUUUUUGGCUGUAUUUUGGCCAAGACACCUACAAGACAGCAUGGGACUGCAGGCAGACUUCCAACCACAUCAGACGAGUCUGGAAGUGGUUUUCUAAUUAACCGGCCCCUGACGGACACAUAGCCAUGGCUUUUCUGACACGGUCUGGGAGUAUUUGUCUAAAACAAGAUUUUUGUGUGGCUUCUCCAGAGAGCCCAUGGGUCUGAGUGGUGGGUAAGAGAGGACUUGGUGGAUGAAAGAAGAAUGCUUGCCUUUUUGUUCACUCAGCAGUCUUUGGUGAGUUUCACAUAGCAGGGAUGUGCCAACUUCAGCCAUAGACAGCAGUCUGUUGUAUUGAACAAGCAGUGCUUAUUUCUGCACAGUCUCAGGCAUAAACAUCUGUAGCAAAAAAUAGAUUGGCUUCACCAACACUUCAAAGAGAACGAGUGAGCUACCACCCAAAAUCAACUUUCACCUGAUACCUGCCACCCUCUAUUGCAAAAGUCUGCUCCCAUGUCUCGUGCUCCCGUGUCCUGUUGCUACUAGGACAUGCUGGACUUGUCAGAAGUGUAUACCACUUGCUCUUUGUCCUGGACCCACAGUUUUAAAAGGGUUUAAAAGGGACUUUAGCAGCCAGGCUUGCUGCAGGAUGCCAACCUCCUCCCAGCACAGUGCAGUGCACCCAAGCCAGUUUCCCUGCUGCCCACAGCCUGGGAAGGGCUGGUCCUACAUCCUCCUGUGAUAUGAGGGACACCUGGUGCAUGGGGACUGCUGGCUUUCCCCAGCACUUUCACUGUUCUCCAACUGGAAUGUAAGGAUAUAAUUCUGCUGCAAAGUUAGGCUGCAAAGUUACCGCAUUAAGCACGGGCACCCUGUGUCCAAUCCCUCAACCUUCCCUCACUCUUUGGAAGAACCUUCAGACUCUUUCCUAAAAAGCAUUACCUUUUUUUUUGUUGUUAUUUAACACAGAUACCUCAAGUCACUGCUGUACUUUUCUCAUUAAGUUCACUCCAUAGCUCUUUCCUCCGAUUUUCUUUCUUUCCAGAAGUGACAACUUCUCCGUUUGUGCUCCCAUUGCGUCAUCCCCCCUUCCACAACUGCCCCGCAUUUUUUUGCCUAACAGCGUGUAAUUAAUCACCUGGGGUUUGUAAUAAAACAUGACGCCCAUUUAAUAGCCUGAGUCACUGAUGGAGCAAGGCAGAACUAGAACAUGAGAAGGAUGGCGGAGCAGAUAAGGCUCUCAUUGGCAGGCCCAGGGCAGGCCUGCACCAAGGGACCUGUGUGACACCAGGACCGCAUCUGGUGCUGUCCCACCUCUCAGCUGGGCUUGGGCAGCUCUUCUGCAGACCGGUCAACCAAUUCUCUGUGGGAUGGGUGUGCAGGGAGCAGGGGAGCAAACGAGGCGGAGGGAGUGGAGAGGGGCCUGGAACAAAAAGGAACAAAGUGAUGGGCUUUGGAUUUGCUUCCAGCAUUCAGCAAAAUUCCUGUUUCACGCUGCGGGAACUUAUUGUGUCUCUUCUAAGGAGCAGAACCUGCUAAUGGAGAAAGGGUGUCUGUGAGUCACGCAGGGAACAGGAUCAAAGGGCAGAGCCAGCACUGCCCAAGUUCUUGCCAGUCUUGUUUCUGAGUAUGCCAACCCCUUCAUAAACUUCUUUUUUUUUUUUUUUUACUAGAAUAAAAAUUAAUGAAGAGCUAACACUAACACAAAUUACCUACCCUGCUUUUUAUUGUUUAAUGAAUAAUCUCCUUACUUUAUAGUGCUGCCAGGAGGGAUAACGCUAUGGUUAAGGCAUGACUAUACUGUCUUCUCCAAACCUGUUUGGUCCGCUCAUUCCCGCCUGUAACUGCUGGAAAACACACAUGGCUUCUGCUGUUACACAGCAGGUAUAUACAAGGUGAAGCACCUGAAAGUGGCCUUCAACCAACGCAGAGAAUCUCCUGAAAUAGAAGCUGAAAGCAUUUGUUUUCAGUGAUAUGUGGACACUGGAAUAGACUCUUUCUGAAUGCCCAUCAGUUAAAUCUUUCACGUCAGGGAGGUGGAGCUGCAGAAAUGCCCAGCCUGUUGCUACAAGGACAUUACAAACCUCCUCCUCCGUGAACUGCAGCAGUUGGGAAAGGCUCCAGGUUUUCCUAAGGAAACACCACAGUGAUAUACACCUUCAAGCUGGGUGUAACUCUGUCACCACUAAAUCAUGUCAGGCCCCAUACAGGGCAAUCUGUUAAUAGCCUACUGGUUGUAUGAAACUUGCAAAAUUCAAGUGCCACCCAGAAAAUGUUUUGCAAGUGAACGCCGUCUUCAGCUGUUGAGAUUUUCUCCCUUCCUAUAAAACUGCCUAUAAAAGACAUUCCAUGCAUAUUUUAAUGUAUUUACUUACUUAAAUAGACCAAUAAUUGGAGAUUGGGAAAAAUUUCUUCUCAGAAGGAGUGGUGAGGCGUUGGAACAGGCUGCCAGGGAGGUGGUGGAGUCACCAUCCCUGGGGGUGUUCAAGAAACGCGUGGAUGUGGCACUGAGGGAUGUGGUCAGUGGGCAUGGUGGGAGUGGGCUGACAGUUGGACUUGGGGACCUUAGAGGUCUUUUCCAACCUUAAUGAUUCUAUGAUUCUACGAAAACUAAACUAAUCCUAAGGAUGAGACCAGCAAUGAGUGUUCCAUCAUUUAAAAAAAAAAAAAAAAAGGUCGAGAUCAAAGGUUUUUCUGAUGUAUAAUCUUUCUUACCUUCCACUGGACACAAGUGGAAGUGGAUUCUGCUGGGCUUGUAUGGAUUUGUGGGCUAAGGAAAAAUGUUUCUUUUGCUGCCAAAUUUCCAGCCUCAACUGAACUUCUGACUCAAAUAUUCAGACUGCAUUGUAAAUGGCUGGAAAAAAAAAAAAAGAAAGAAAAGGAAAUACAGUUGACUCCUUAUCUUUUGCUGAGUCUAUUGCCAAUCUCUUUCCAAAGCAUCCUCCAUAACCAUUAGGGCUACUUUAUCAGUACAAUAAAGAGUAACAGGUAUCAGAUGAGGCUUCAAAACCGGAGGUCCUGGCUUUCUUAAAAUAAAGAGCAUUAGUAAGCUACAAUGGAGACCGUUCUUAAUUUGGUUGCUUCCAUUACUUAAAUAGCAGAGGGCACAAAGAGAACAGCAAGUAACAAGCAAUGAGCACAAUCCAUGGAUUUUUUUAUUUGCCUUAUUCCUCAGUUCUGAAGGAAGUGAUGAUAAAGCUAAG
ensembl:lncRNA